CAGCCGCCGCGGUAAUACGAAGGGUGCAAGCGUUACUUGGAAUUACUGGGCGUAAAGCGUGCGUAGGUGGUGGUUUAAGUCCGUUGUGAAAGCCCUGGGCUCAACCUGGGAAUUGCAGUGGAUACUGGGUCACUAGAGUGUGGUAGAGGAUAGUGGAAUUUCCGGUGUAGCAGUGAAAUGCGUAGAGAUCGGAAGGAACAUCUGUGGCGAAGGCGACUAUCUGGGCCAACACUGACACUGAGGCACGAAAGCGUGGGGAGCAAACAGGAUUAGAUACCCGGGUAGUCCCUGUCUCUUAUAC
rnacentral:rRNA from 1 species